rnacentral:rRNA from 1 species
GGCGGACGGGUGAGAAACACGUGGCUAACCUGGCUCAAAGAGGGGGAUAGCCUUCCGAAAGGAAGAUUAGUACCGCAUAAGCUUACAGCAUCGCAUGAUGCCGUAAGAAAAGGAGUAAUCCGCUUUGAGAUGGACCCGCGGCGCAUUAGCUAGUUGGUGAGGUAACGGCUCACCAAGGCCACGAUGCGUAGCCGACCUGAGAGGGUGAUCGGCCACAUUGGAACUGAGACACGGUCCAGACUCCUACGGGAGGCAGCAGUGGGGAAUAUUGCACAAUGGGCGAAAGCCUGAUGCAGCAACGCCGCGUGAGUGAUGAAGGCUUUCGAGUCGUAAAGCUCUUUGAUCAGGGACGAUAAUGACGGUACCUGAAAAACAAGCCACGGCUAACUACGUGCCAGCAGCCGCGGUAAU